rnacentral:rRNA from 1 species
UGGAACUGAGACACGGUCCAGACUCCUACGGGAGGCAGCAGUGAGGAAUAUUGGUCAAUGGUCGGAAGACUGAACCAGCCAUGCCGCGUGCAGGAAGACGGUUCUAUGGAUUGUAAACUGCUUUUGUAUGGGAGCAAUAAUGACUAUGUAUAGUCAGAUGAGAGUACCAUACGAAUAAGCACCGGCUAACUCCGUGCCAGCAGCCGCGGUAAUACGGAGGGUACAAGCGUUAUCCGGAUUUAUUGGGUUUAAAGGGUGCGUAGGCUGUUACUUAAGUCAGUGGUAAAAUAUUCCGGCUUAACCGGGAGCCUGCCAUUGAAACUGGGUAGCUGGAAUACGGAUGCUGUGGGAGGAAUGUGUAGUGUAGCGGUGAAAUGCAUAGAUAUUACACAGAACACCGAUUGCGAAGGCAUCUCACAAGGCCGUUAUUGACGCUGAUGCACGAAAGCGUGGGGAUCAAACAGGAUUAGAUACCCUGGUAGUCCACGCUGUAAACGAUGAUAACUAGC